rnacentral:rRNA from 1 species
GAUGAACGCUGGCGGCGUGCUUAACACAUGCAAGUCGAACGGUGAAGCAGAGCUUGCUCUGUGGAUCAGUGGCGAACGGGUGAGUAACACGUGAGCAACCUGCCCCGGACUCUGGGAUAAGCGCUGGAAACGGCGUCUAAUACCGGAUACGAGAUUCCACCGCAUGGUGAGUUUCUGGAAAGAUUUUUUGGUCUGGGAUGGGCUCACGGCCUAUCAGCUUGUUGGUGAGGUAAUGGCUCACCAAGGCGUCGACGGGUAGUCGGCCUGAGAGGGUGACCGGCCACACUGGGACUGAGACACGGCCCAGACUCCUACGGGAGGCAGCAGUGGGGAAUAUUGCACAAUGGGCGGAAGCCUGAUGCAGCAACGCCGCGUGAGGGAUGACGGCCUUCGGGUUGUAAACCUCUUUUAGCAGGGAAGAAGCGAAAGUGACGGUACCUGCAGAAAAAGCGCCGGCUAACUACGUGCCAGCAGCCGCCGUAA